AACGAACGCUGGCGGCGUGUUUAAGACAUGCAAGUCGCACGGGAUAAGACAUGUAGUAAUACUUGUUUUAUUUAGUGGCGCACGGGUGAGUAACACGUGAAUUACAUGCCCUAUAGUGGGGAAUAGCCCAGGGAAACUUGGAUUAAUACCCCAUGGUAUCGAAAGAUUAAAGGUGGCCGCAAGGCUGUCGCUAUAGGAUUGGUUCGCGCCCUAUCAGCUUGUUGGUGAGGUAACGGCUCACCAAGGCAAUGACGGGUACAUGGUCUGAGAGGACGAUCAGGCACACUGGAACUGAGACACGGUCCAGACACCUACGGGUGGCAGCAGUCGAGAAUAAUUCACAAUGGGGGCAACCCUGAUGGUGCAACGCCGCGUGGAGGAUGACGGUCUUCGGAUUGUAAACUCCUGUCAUCUGGGAGAAAGACCUGACGGUAAAUAGCCGGCAGGGUUGAUAGUACCAGAAGAGGAAGGGACGGCUAACUUCGUGCCAGCAGCCGCGGUAA
rnacentral:rRNA from 1 species